UCAGGACGAACGCUGGCGGCGUGCUUAACACAUGCAAGUUGAACGGUAUGACAUGGAAGCUUGCUGAAGUGUCAUAUAGUAGCGGACGGGUGAGUAAUGCAUGAGAAGCUGCCAUUGGAGGGGGACAACAGUUGGAAACGGCUGCUAAUACCCCGUAUGCCGGAGGGUGAAAGGGAGUAAUCCGCCCGAUGAGGUGCUCAUGUCCUAUCAGCUGGUUGGUGGGGUAACGGCCUACCAAGGCGACGACGGGUAGCCGGCCUGAGAGGGUGAACGGCCACACUGGAACUGAGAUACGGCCCAGACUCCUACGGGAGGCAGCAGUGGGGAAUAUUUGGGGCAAUGGGGGCAACCCUGACCCAGCGACGCCGCGUGGGGGAAGACGGCCUUCGGGUUGUAAACCUCUUUUGUACGGGAAGAAGGAAGUGACGGUACUGUACGAAUAAGUCCCGGCUAACUACGUGCCAGCCGCCGC
rnacentral:rRNA from 1 species